rnacentral:rRNA from 1 species
UACGUAGGGGGCAAGCGUUGUCCGGAUUUAUUGGGCGUAAAGAGCGUGUAGGCGGUCUGGUAGGUCCGUUGUGAAAACUCGAGGCUCAACCUCGAGACGCCGAUGGAAACCCUCAGACUAGAGUCCGGAAGAGGAGAGUGGAAUUCCUGGUGUAGCGGUGAAAUGCGCAGAUAUCAGGAAGAACACCCGUGGCUAAGGCGGCUCUCUAGGACGGUACUGACGCUGAGACGCGAAAGCGUGGGGAGCGAACAGG